rfam:Triticum aestivum genome assembly, contig: Triticum_aestivum_CS42_TGACv1_scaffold_641358_T_5BL-0.186410_4BL-0.101634
CUUAUACUCCCUCCGUCCGGAAAUACUUGUCAUCAAAAUGGAUAAAAGGAGAUGUAUCUAGACGUAUUUUAGUUCCAGAUACAUUUUUUUAUUCAUUUUGAUGACACGUAUUUUUGGACGGAGGGAGUACUUA